rnacentral:misc_RNA from 1 species
UACGGAGUACCCAAGCGUUACCCGGAAUCACUGGGCGUAAAGAGUUGCGUAGGCGGUUAUUUAAGUGGAACGUGAAAUCUUACGGCUCAACCGUAAGGCUAUGUUCCAAACUGGAUAACUUGAGAAUGGCAGAGGUAAGUGGAAUUAGCGGUGUAGGAGUGAAAUCCGUAGAUAUCGCUAGGAACACCAAUGGCGAAGGCAGCUUACUGGGCCAUUUCUGACGCUAAGGCACAAAAGCGUGGGGAGCGAACCGG